rnacentral:rRNA from 1 species
UAGGGAAUCUUCCGCAAUGGACGCAAGUCUGACGGAGCAACGCCGCGUGAGUGAAGAAGGAUUUCGGUUCGUAAAACUCUGUUGUUAGAGAAGAACAGCGCAUAGAGUAACUGUUAUGCGUGUGACGGUAUCUAACCAGAAAGCCACGGCUAACUACGUGCCAGCAGCCGCGGUAAUACGUAGGUGGCAAGCGUUGUCCGGAUUUAUUGGGCGUAAAGCGGGCGCAGGCGGUCAAUUAAGUCUGAUGUGAAAGCCCCCGGCUCAACCGGGGAGGGUCAUUGGAAACUGGUUGACUUGAGUGCAGAAGAGGAGAGUGGAAUUCCAUGUGUAGCGGUGAAAUGCGUAGAUAUAUGGAGGAACACCAGUGGCGAAGGCGACUCUCUGGUCUGUAACUGACGCUGAGGUUCGAAAGCGUGGGUAGCAAACAGG